rnacentral:snoRNA from 2 species
AUGCUUUUGUGGUUCGUGAACCUGAUGAUUGGGUGUUCAUGUAUGUGUGUGAGAUGUACCACCCUCGAACCUUGUUAUGACGUCAGCACAUUACCCAUCUGACC